rnacentral:sRNA from 2 species
UUCCAUGCCCUUCGGGGUAGACCUCCCACCCUUGUGUAUUAUAACAAAUUGUUGCCUUGGCGGGCUGCGGCUCUGCUGCCCGGGACUCGUCCCGGUAUGCCCGCCGAAGGACCCCUAAACUCUGUUUAUUAGUGUCGUCUGAGUACUAUAUAAUAGUUAAAACUUUCAACAACGGAUCUCUUGGUUCUGGCAUCGAUGAAGAACGCAGCGAAAUGCGAUAAGUAAUGUGAAUUGCAGAAUUCAGUGAAUCAUCGAAUCUUUGAACGCACAUUGCGCCCCUUGGCAUUCCGGGGGGCAUGCCUGUUCGAGCGUCAUUAUGACCAAUCUAGCCUGGCUAGGUAUUGGGCUUCGCGGUUCCGCGGGCCUUAAAACCAGUGGCGGUGCUCUCAGGCUCUACGCGUAGUAACUUUCUCGCUUUGGAGCCCUGGGAGAUGCUUGCCAUCAACCUCAACUUUCUUAGGUUGACCUCGGAUCAGGUAGGGAUACCCGCUGAACUUAAGCAUAUCAAUAA